AUUCAAGGUGGCUUUGGCUGCUUGCUUGUCAUUCUGAGUGUGGGGACACACAUGCUACCCUGGUUGUCAGCAGGUGAGAAGGGGGCUCUGAUCAGCUUCUCACUGGAUUUAGAGAAGAGCAGAUGCCCCUGAUCAGCUUCUCACUGGAUUUAGAGAAGAGCAGAUGUCCCAGACUUGUAGCUGCCAUUGCCUCUCUCUUUCGGAAAAUGAGAGUUGCUAAGAGGUGAGAUCAGGGCAAGCUUUCUUAGAUGAAGAAGCCAGACACAGAAGACACCAUUGGAAGUAUUUGAUACACACAUGUCUUUCUUUGAGACCAGCUAACAGAGACUUCAGCUCGCACAGCAGCACAAAUGGCUGAGUGUUGGGGAUACAAGUGGCUGAGCGGCGAGCAGAGAAGCAGCGACUGAGCUCUGGAGACUACAGAUAGACGCAGCUAACUUCAGACGUGGAGUGAGAGCAUGCAAGGAAGAUGAAAUCAAUUCUAGAAAAAACACAGAAACCUCACUUUCUUUGCACGUGAAAGAAGUUUUAGUCGAUUACUAUUCUACGUGGCUAUUGCAGCGCCGCACAAUACACACAUCCCUGUCCCUGAAGCCCAUUUGUCCCCUCCACUCAAUGUCAGUUCAUCUGUUGAGAGAGGUGACGAGAAGGGAGAGUCUGUAGAAGAUAUGAUUUCCCUCGGCGAGUUUUCCCCUUGUCAAUUCCAUCGUUUCCGGAUUGGGUAGCCACCACCACUUUCAUCAGGGGCUGAGAAAUGGAGAUGAACUGUGCUUCCAUUUUUAUCUGUGCUGGAGAUGGAGGCCACAGUCCUGCUGUCAUUUUCCAGCUGCAGUUAUCAGCCUCUCUAGGGCUCUUGAACUGAACACUUAUUCUUUUAAAAAUCAUCAACACGGGAUCUGUUGCCAAGAAGAGAAGCCAAUUCUUGUCUCCAUGCUCUAGGAAGUGUUUUCUUUGUAGUACUGUUGGCAUGGAGGUGAAGAGCCUGGAACUCGAUACUGAAAUCUCAGUAACAGAGCUGCCACUGGGUACAGUUUAUUUUGGAAUUAAAGCAAAUACAUCCAGAAAUUGUACUCAGGAUAUUCAAAUACGAGUAAUGAAACAUUGUAAAUGUAACCACAACUAUAUCUUAUGGGAGAUCAAUAGAGAACUAAGUGUAUUUGCUCUAUUAGCACAAAGUAUACAUAGAUAUGCUAUUACAUCAAUAAUUUUACCGAAGUAGGAAAGAGUAUUCAGAAAUUAGAACAAAAAUGAACUGUAUUAACUGUAAUUGACUGUAAAAUAUUUUAACUUCAUAAAACCACAUAUAUUAUCAGACAUAGUUAGAUAUUUGGUUCUUAUUUCUUCUGAUGAUUACAGAUUAAAUAAGAAUUCUUAUUUUAACAAGACAAUCAGAAAGAGAGAUGUAUAAAGGAGGGGCUGAGGGCAGUUCUAAUAUAACCUGAAGAGUUGUGGGUUCUUUUAUGUAUUUGGUAUGUGUGUAGCUCUGUGUUUUAUGUAUACAUGAUGUAGAGAAAGUAUAUGUUUCUAAUAUUACCUGUUAGUGUUCGGAAAAAAGUGUUACAAAAUAUGGCAAAAUGUUCUUGCAUAUGUAUAAUUCUGCAAAAGGUGAACAGAUGCUUGUUUUGGUAGAUUUUCCCUGCUUUUGCUGCUUUUAGUAUCGUUCUUCUAACCUGCUUUUAAUAGAUGUUGCUAAAGUUUUCUAAGAUAAGUGAAUUAGUAUUUUCUUUUUCUAUAUUGAUGUUAAAGCUGUCUUUAUUUGAAAAGGGAAGGUUUAUAAAGUUGAGAUGUGUUACUGGAGUUACAGAUGAGAUGUUUUAGGUUGUGUGUGCUUGGAUGUGUGCAGAACGCUUUUUGCUUAGGCACCUAGGCAGUUGUUGUGGAUUCAUGUAUGUGUGCUUAUGUGUGUGCAUGCAUGUGUGUACAUGAAUGUGUGACUGAAAAAAAAAAACAUUUCUUUCUGGGACCGUACGCCAAGAACAAUUUUAAUAAUAGCUUUUAUAUGAACAUUUGCAUUCUUACAACUAAUUUAAAAAAUCUGUGUUUGAUCCCCAACUGGAUCACGCUGUAUGAAGACUUUUUUAGUAAAGUAUUUUUAAAGUUUUAAACCCAAAAAAAUGUUUGCUACCAAAAAAAAGUCUGUAUAGCCAACUGUCUCUUAAGAAGUCUUACAUUACAAACUUAAAAUGUCUAAAACAGGACACUUGAUUCCCCUACAGCCUGACCCUCCUGUAAUCUUCAUCAUCUCAGGAAUGACACCAGCACGUUGUUCAUAUGAUUUUCUUUUUUUUUUUUUUUUGAGACAGAGUUUCACUCUGUCGCCCAGGCUGGAGUGCAGAGGCGUGAUCUCGGCUCAGUGCAAGCUCCGCCUCCCGGGUUCACGCCAUUCUCCUGCCUCAGCCUCCCAAGCAGCUGGGACUACAGGCGCCCACCACCACGCCCGGCUAAUUUUUUGUAUUUUUAGUAGAGAUGGGGUUUCACCAUUUUAGCCAGGAUGGUCUUGAUCUCCUGACCUCGUGAUCCGCCGGCCUCGGCCUCCUAAAGUGCUGGGAUUACAGGCGUGAGCCACCGUGCCUGGCCCACAUGUAUUUUUAAGUAUACAUUUUUGUGUGUGUGUGAAGGGGAGUGAUCUGAUGCGCAGUUGCUGGAAGCUUAUCAUAAUGUGGUCACAAUUUUCACUAUGAAGUAGUUCUCUAAAGGAAGGUCUUUGUGUAAAGACAGACUAUUAGAAAGUUUUUCAUGACUGGUGGUACUGAUUUGCAUACUUUUGUGUAUUCAUGAGUACAAUAAUAUUUAUUGACAGCCUACUGAGUUUCUGGCACUCUCCUGAGUACUGGGAAUACAUCUGUCAAUUGAACUUAAAACACAUUAGCUGUGAUAUAACAAAACAAAAUGAAUGAAUGUAUAUAAUCUCACUAUAGUCAACCGUAUUACUACCUUUCAUGUUGAGGACACACCAAAAUAUUGCAAAAUCCCUUUCUAUUAUUAAGAAUGCUUUAUUUUGAAUAGAAUAAACUUAAUAAAUUUAAAAAAUUAAAAGAGUAGAAAAUAAUCCAAAGGAAUCUAUAAACACAUAUAAGCUAGCAUGGUUAUACAAUGUAUCUAUAUGUACACAUGUCAGGAAUUCAGAGUAAAUGCAAGAAGAUGCCAAAUUGUGAGUCAUUCUUUAAACAAACAUACUGAGAGUUGGUUUUCUACACUACAUGCAUUUGGCAUGCCUACUUGUUGGACAUAGUCAUGACAAUUUCUUGUUUCUUUCACUCAACACAUGUAAUUGAGUGCCUAUGGCGGGCACUGGGCAAGGUGCUGGGAAGAAAAGUUGGGUUACACACAUUCUUGCCCUCCUGGACUUCAUGCAGGAGUUGUUUGAUUUCAUUAUAGAACCAUUUUCUGGGUCCUAAUGUCUACUUUUCAGAAGCAGACAUUUCCCAUUGCUUGUAGGAUGACCACCUCAUACACAUGGUCACCGUCAUCAUCCACCAAGCUCAGGACAACCAUCUCAUCAGGCUCCAUCUUAAAAGAAACUGUGAGAGCCCUUGUCUUGUGAAUUAGCUGCCUCUUCAGCAAUAUCUCUGGUCCUGAUCCUGAGCACUGGCCUCACUGCGAGGUGUUGUGGGUGUUCUGUUCCUCCUACUUCUGAGGCUCCCUUGCCUGGAUUCUCAGAAAACCAGGUCUUAGGCAAGAUGUGACCCUGAGCUGUGCAGCCUUAUAGUCGCAGCCCUUACCUUGCCAGGUUUUAAUGUCCUUCUGUGUACAACAAAGCAUUUAAGGAAUUUUAGGGAUCCCUAGGUUCCUUAAAAGGUACUUCCUGUCUUUCAAGCAAGUGAAAGGAAGAUGCAACCCUGUGAAGCCAAGACGGUUUCCAGAGCCUGGGAGCCAGGUGUGUGUUCCCACGGCUGCCUUGUGUCACAUGCCCAUGAUGAGGACAGUGUGAUAUUUUCACCAAAGCCUUUUCCCACCUCACUGCUAGGCAUUGAAAUGUUCUGAGUUCAUCACAGCAAGAGCAAGAAGGGGUCUUAGCAAUUAAUCAUUCAUUUGAUAGACGAGGAACUUGGAGUCUAAAGGGAUUCAGGCAGAAGAACUUAGCUUUUGACAACCAAUCAGCCUUACUAAAUUUAAACAAAUAGGAUUUUUAAAGUGUAAAAUAAUUUAUGGAAAUACCUUUAAGAGUAUUACUCUCUGCCUUGUUUCUUAGAUCAAAAAGUAACAAACUUACUUAUUUUUGAUAUCUCAGGGAUAUUCUGCUAUGAACGGAAUGUAGUUGUGAAUGGUACUGUCUCUGGAGAUAGAGCUGGGCUCACGUUGUGGCUGUAUCACUUAUUAGUUUCAUGAUGUAGGCCACAGUGUUUAGUCUUUCUGAGCCACAGCAUCCUUACCUGCAAAAUGGAGAGAAUAAUGAUUGGUAUCAAUCUCACUGGGAAGUUGUGAGAAUUAAGUGAUACAAUGUGCAUGUGAAAACAGUAGGAUGCCUGACAUGUAAGUGGGAUUGCUAUUGGAUGCUUUUAUUAUAAUUACUACUAUUAUAAUUUGGAUGUCACUUGGAACUUCUCUGCCUCUUGGGGAUUUAGUUUGAAUAUUUAAUUCCACAGCUGGGGGAAGCUGAAGUUUUUCUCUUAAUUCCUGUUUUAUCCCAACCCUACACUCCCUCCUUAAGGUGCCUCUGUUUCUACUCUUCUGUUGAUGGAUACCAUCUUGUUUGGCUUGCAUUUACCUUCUGCACAUUUGCAGUGAGCCAAGCCUUUUAUAAAAUUGUCCCUUUACUGAAGAUGUGGAAGUUCACAGAAGAGGGAUUGUGCCACACUGUGUGGGUCAUGACUUUCUUCCUUCCCACUCAUGUUCUGCUUCUCCCAGGGCCCACAUGCCAACAUGUGCCUUAGCUAAUCCAUGUAGUUCCUGAAUGGGUAAUUGAUUCCCUCUGUCUGAGAGUUUUCCUCUGGAAGAGUAGACCCAACCAGGAGGACUUUCUUUCUUGGUCCCCCUGGAAUGCUGGUGAGUAAAUAUUCUCUGUUGUUACCUUCAGUUCUGUCAUUAGACUACACUGCACUUCAGUAGACCACAUUAAACUACUCAGAUCAUAGUGGCUUCCAUAUUUGCCCCUACUCCGAAGGAACGCCCUGCUUCUAUUUCAGGAAUUUUCUUUGUCCUCUGUUACUAUCAGCCAGCUACUUGUUGAUGUGAGUGUGCCACCCCUUGGGGUGACCCCCGCUAUCUAACAUGAUGCUUUCAGCCUUUGGGGCAGCAAAGGCCGAGGGCAUUAGAAGUGUGCGUAAAGCUCUCUGAGUGGGAGCUUCUGCUCCCUCCUUCGGGGCAAAAUAAAUAAACCUUAGUACCUGGGCUUUAUGGCAAUUCUUUUGUUGGCUGAGCCACAGUUUUUCUUUAAUUCCUGUUUUUCUAUAUCACUCCAGCUAGCAGAGGUUGACAGAUCAAUGUAGUGUUAAAGAUAUGUAGCAACAUUUGUCUGGCACUAUUGGAAAAUGAGGUGUUUUCUAUAAAUAAAUUCCAGGUAAUGGGAGCUCAUCAUUUUAGAUACCGAAACCUUUAAACAUUUUAAUAAUGUUGGGUGGAGUGCUAAGACAUUAUGUGGCUUAAAAUCUAGAAAAUAAUUGAUGCAUACAAAUAGGAAGGCAGAAUAACAGUGGAUAAGUAUACAGACUGGAGUCAAGCUUGAUUCACAGGGUUCUGCCAUUUUUCCAUCCCAAAUGCAGUGCACAGCAUUGAGCCCAGUAAUACAUCUUGUUUCAUAUGCUUGAUUUGAAGAUGUCAUGCCCCUCCAUGCAAAGUCUUAGCAUAGUGCCAGGCACUUUUUACAUGCUUACUAUCCAGCUCUUCCUGGCCUUAUUGUUACUGUUAACUUUUUUUGUUGUUGUUUUUUUCUUUUUGAGAUGAAGUCUCGCUCUCUCACCCAGGCUGGAAUGCAGUGGCAUGAUCUCGGCUCACUGGAACCUCCGCCUCCCAGGUUCAAGCGAUUCUCCUGCCUCAGCCUCCUGAGUAGCUGAGAUUACAAGUAUGCCCCACCACACCCUGCUAAUUUUGUAUUUUUAGUAGAGACGGGGUUUCUCCAUGUUAGAGACGGGGUUCCUGCAUGUGGGUCUGGUCGUGAACUCCCAACCUCAGGUGAUCCGCGUGCCUCGGCCUCGAAAAGUGUUGAGAUUACAGGCAUGAGCCACUGUGCCUGGCCCAACAUUUUUUAUUUUUAUAAAUCAACAAUGGCAACAACAACAACAAUAUAAAUAACCUACCAGGCAAAAAGUAAAAACAAGUAAUUUAGAAACUAAAUAAAAUGUGGUAAUCAUUUAAAAGUUUAUUCAA
rnacentral:lncRNA from 1 species